rnacentral:misc_RNA from 1 species
ACAAAUCUCACCAUUAGAAAAACUCUUUCGAAAAGAAAAGCACCACUGACCCAUAAGUAAAUAAAUAAUAAAUAAUAAAAAAGAAAUGCAGAAAUCAAACCGAAAUUGUCAACCAUUCUCUUCUGAGGCUUUUCUUUAACAUUGUUUCUGCUAAAUUUCUUCCACACAAAAUUCAUAUUAUCAAAGUUAAUGCUUCUCUCCCUUCUUUUUCUGAUCGUCUCCUUUCCCUUUAGACCAUUAGCAUGCAAGCUUUGAUUUUCUAAUCCAUCUAGAAAAUCGCUCCUCUUUUCUCUGUCUCUCUGUCCAAAAUCCAGCAUGGUUCUGAUUUUCUUGUAAAAAUAAAGAUUUAUUAGGGUUUUUGAUCUGGGUUUGGUUCACUAUGAAGGGUUGUUCAAUUCAUAGUCGAAAGAUUGCUGCUUUACUCGGAGUAUCAACUGGUAUUAUAUGGGUUUGUUUAGUUUCUUCUGUAAUUGGUGAAGAUGAUGUCAAAUGCCUGCAAGGCGUUAGGACUUCGCUUAAUGACCCACAAGGGAAGCUCAGCUCCUGGAACUUCGCCAACUCAUCGUCUGGAUUCCUCUGCAACUUCGUCGGUGUGUCUUGCUGGAAUGAUCAAGAAAAUAGGAUUAUCAACCUGCAGUUACGGGACAUGGGCCUGUCUGGACAAGUCCCUGAGUCCUUAAAGUACUGUGAGAGCCUGCAAAAUUUGGAUCUUUCAUCUAAUGCUCUCUCUGGUACGAUUCCUACUCAGAUCUGCACCUGGUUGCCUUAUUUAGUUACUCUUGAUCUAUCCAAUAAUGAUCUCUCAGGGUCUAUACCACCUGAUCUUGUGAACUGUACUUAUUUAAAUAAUUUGAUACUUUCAAACAAUCGUCUCUCUGGACCUAUACCUUAUGAAUUCUCUAGUUUGGCUAGGCUAAAGAAGUUUUCUGUGGCAAAUAAUGAUCUUACUGGUACAAUUCCAUCCUUCUUUAGUAAUUUUGAUUCUGGGGAUUUUUCUGGGAAUGAUGGACUUUGUGGGAAGCCUUUAGGAUCCAAGUGUGGUGGCUUAAGCAAGAAGAAUCUUGCUAUUAUAAUUGCUGCUGGGAUCUUUGGUGCUGCAGCAUCUUUGUUGUUGGCUUUUGGGGUGUGGUGGUGGUAUCAUUUGAAGUCUUCUAGGAGGAGAAAGACAGGUUAUGGCAUUGGGAGAGGUGAUGAUACUAGUUUGGCUGACAGGUUGAGGGCUCAUAAGCUUGUUCAGGUUUCAUUGUUUCAAAAGCCUCUUGUUAAGGUUAAAUUGGCUGAUUUAAUGGUAGCUACUAACAAUUUUAGUCCUCGGAAUAUCAUAAUUUCGACAGGGACAGGGACUACCUAUAAGGCAGUUCUUCCUGAUGGUUCUGCACUUGCAAUCAAGCGUCUUAAUACUUGUAAGCUUGGUGAGAAGCAAAUUCGCUUGGAGAUGAAUCGAUUGGGACAGCUUAGACAUCCAAAUUUGACACCCCUUUUGGGUUUUUGUAUUGUGGAGGACGAGAAACUUUUAGUUUACAAGCAAAUGUCUAAUGGGACUUUGUAUGCUUUGCUUCAUGGAAAUGGUGCCCUAUUGGACUGGCCAACAAGAUUCAGAAUUGGUUUGGGUGCUGCUAGGGGUCUAGCUUGGCUUCAUCAUGGGUGCCAGCCUCCAUUCUUGCACCAGAACAUAUGCUCCAACAUGAUUCUUGUUGAUGAAGAUUUUGAUGCUAGGAUCAUGGAUUUUGGACUGGCAAGGCUCAUGAAUUCCUCAGAUUCUAAUGAGAGCAGUUAUGUUAAUGGGGAUUUAGGUGAAUUCGGUUAUGUAGCACCAGAGUACUCAAGCACUAUGGUUGCUUCAUUGAAAGGGGAUGUGUAUGGAUUUGGGGUGGUGCUUCUAGAGCUUGUGACAGGGCAAAAACCUCUUGAUAUUAGUAAUGCUGAAGAAGUAUUCAAGGGUAACUUGGUGGAUUGGUUGAAUCACCUCUCAAGUUCAGGUAGAAUCAAGGAUGCAAUUGAUAAGACUCUUUGUGGGAAGGGACAUGAUGAGGAGAUCUUGCAAUUCCUGAAAAUUGCUUUGAAUUGUGUGGCUGCUCGGCCCAAGGACAGAUGGUCCAUGUACCGAGUUUACCAAUCAUUAAAGGCCUGUGGCAAUGACCUUGGUUUCUCAGAGCAAGAUGAUGAAUUUCCGUUGAUUUUUAUCAAGCAAGACAAUGAAUGAACAAGUGUAACUACAGAAGUAAGAUGCAAGAAAAAAAAGCCUGACAAAAACUCUUAUCAUAUUGAAUUCAUACAUUUUCUGGUAAGUUCUCAGAUGCCCCGGUUGUAAAUGGUGUGACGUGCACUUCAGCUUCCUUUCCCUAUUUGUUAUGCAUAUAUAGCUGUAUGUUAAACAUUUCCUUAGCUCAGGCCUCUUGGAUUUCAAGAAACAUCCAUUGUUUUGCCUUCUUGUUCCAUGACAGACAACCCUUGUAGCUGCCUGAAAUUUGUAAUAUGCUCUGUCUGUAGCCUUAGAAAUUUGCAAAGUAUAGAAUGCUUAGUGAGAUAACUAAAUAGAAGUAACGACGGGGCAGAAUACUAGUAAGGACACAUUUCCUGCAGUCUCCUCUAACAGGAAUUAUACUCUGGCUUUUUCAUGACUCGAAUGAAAUAGCUUUUUCCAUUUAUGUAAUUAUUAAAGUCAUGAAGUAGCUUUUUCAUGACUCGGAUAUAAUCAUCUUGAUGUGUAAAACAACUUAUAUAAGCCCACAUUAAAUGAAUUAAUAUGUAAUUUGUCAACACUUUUUUCAAAUUUAACAAUUAUAAAUAAAUAAAUACAUAAUAUCUAAAGAGUGUUAACAGCUCAACAAGAUACUAAUGGCUAAUUUGUCUAUCAAGCCUUCAUAAUGCACCAAUUAUCAGCUUUUUUUUCUUGGAAGAAUAAGUUGUUUGAAACUUAACCUGUAAUUUUAAAGGAAGUUAAUAAUAAAGACUAACAAUAUUUUUUUAUUACUUAAUAUCUAUAAUUAAUUAUUCUCCUAGGGUGUUGGGCAUAAGGAUUUGGAAUUUGAAUAAUUGAAGAACCUUUUCUUGCACCUGUUUUUUAAAUUUUUCUAUGCAUCUCUUGUUGAUGGUUUAGUGCCUACAGGCUACAGCAAAACAAACAUCAGCAUGCAAAUUGCAGCACUGCACCCCUUGCCUGAUAAUAAAAAGAGUUUCAUGAUGAUAAUUCCUUACCUUUUGCAAUUCCCUUGCUCCUUCAGCUAACUCAUUCUUCUG